GAGCAACUGUGGAAGUUGUUGCGCUGAAAAAAUCCGGUGAACAAUGUAGUCCUCGCUCGGACCCGAUCGGCCAAAGUUAACUGCGCAGCGCUAACAAAAUUUUCCUGCAGUGUGAUACCGUUGAGGCAGUCAAAACAAACCUGCCAUUUUUGUGUUCCAGGCUGCCAAAGAACAACAUCUUGCGGAACCAGGACCAUGGAAUUAAAAAGCAAACUAGUCGAUUCCGCUAAGGUAAUGGUUCGUCCUUCUACAAGUUCUACACACGGCAAGUUCCGGCUGCAUCCUGCUUACCGCUAUCGGGGGAUCGAUAAUCAUCACAACCUAGCCGGACUUGCCCAACGGAUAUCGUUUCCAAGAGCUUGGAGGAAAACAUGAUUCUUGGCUAUUUCUGCCACCGGUUACGGUAUUCGGAGAGGUUCGCAAAAGAUGACCAGGACUCUGUCUGACAGCCAACCUUCCGAGAAAAUGGCCUCGGCAUUUCGCAACUUUGGCUCGCGAAAAAUGCUGUGCCGGUUGUGCAUUGCCUUCGUAAUAGAUUACUGGCAUGAUUGUUCCCCGCGACGAGGGAUUUUGUUUGGCUGAACGUUCCUAACAGAAGAUUGCUCCGAAGGACUUGUCUGUGGUGGACACUUUUGUGACAACGUUUACGAAGGGAUUCAGCGGUCAUGCAUGAAUCAUACCAGGUCUAGCUUGAUUCAUAAUUG